GAUUAAGUUAUUAAGGGCGCACGGUGGAUGCCUUGGCACUAGAAGCCGAUGAAGGACGUUACUAACGACGAUAUGCUUUGGGGAGCUGUAAGUAAGCUUUGAUCCAGAGAUUUCCGAAUGGGGAAACCCAGCAUGAGUUAUGUCAUGUUAUCGAUAUGUGAAUACAUAGCAUAUCAGAAGGCACACCCGGAGAACUGAAACAUCUUAGUACCCGGAGGAAGAGAAAGAAAAUUCGAUUCCCUUAGUAGCGGCGAGCGAAACGGGAAGAGCCCAAACCAACAAGCUUGCUUGUUGGGGUUGUAGGACACUCUAUACGGAGUUACAAAGGACGACAUUAGACGAAUCAUCUGGAAAGAUGAAUCAAAGAAGGUAAUAAUCCUGUAGUCGAAAAUGUUGUCUCUCUUGAGUGGAUCCUGAGUACGACGGAGCACGUGAAAUUCCGUCGGAAUCUGGGAGGACCAUCUCCUAAGGCUAAAUACUCUCUAGUGACCGAUAGUGAACCAGUACCGUGAGGGAAAGGUGAAAAGCACCCCGGAAGGGGAGUGAAAUAGAACCUGAAACCGUGUGCUUACAAGUAGUCA
rnacentral:rRNA from 1 species